GACGAACGCUGGCGGCGUGCUUAACACAUGCAAGUCGAACGGAGAGGCCCUGCUUGCAGGGUACUCGAGUGGCGAACGGGUGAGUAACACGUGGGUGAUCUGCCCUGCACUUCGGGAUAAGCCUGGGAAACUGGGUCUAAUACCGGAUAGGAGCCAUUUUUAGUGUGAUGGUUGGAAAGUUUUUUCGGUGUAGGAUGAGCUCGCGGCCUAUCAGCUUGUUGGUGGGGUAAUGGCCUACCAAGGCGGCGACGGGUAGCCGGCCUGAGAGGGUGGACGGCCACAUUGGGACUGAGAUACGGCCCAGACUCCUACGGGAGGCAGCAGUGGGGAAUAUUGCACAAUGGGCGCAAGCCUGAUGCAGCGACGCCGCGUGGGGGAUGACGGCCUUCGGGUUGUAAACUCCUUUCGCUAGGGACGAAGCUUUUUGUGACGGUACCUAGAUAAGAAGCACCGGCUAACUACGUG
rnacentral:rRNA from 1 species